CCCUGGCAACUCAGUAGGUAAAGAAUCUGCCUGCAAUGCAGAAAACCUGGGUUUGAUCCCUGGGUCAGGAA
rnacentral:tRNA from 1 species